CUGCUUUUCAGUAGCAAAGCUGAGACUCUUUUGUGACAGUGUAGCACACACACACAGACACUAGUAACUGGUCAUGUUUGCGUUUUGCCUUUCAUGGAUGGGGCAAAGUUUUAGCAAACUCAUCACCUCAAUCUCUCCAAAUAGCUUUAAUCAUGUAUACGUCCUUACAUUGCCAUUCCACCAUGACCUGUAUUUUGUAUAUUGUUGUAUGAUAG